UUUUAGCCCCGAUUGAAGUGGAAAUCCUUUACUGUUUUUGGAAAAAGCCCUUCGACUGCGCUCAGGGUGACAAACAGUAAAGAUUGUAACGCAAAGCGGGAAAAUGG
rnacentral:ncRNA from 2 species